rnacentral:misc_RNA from 1 species
AGCAGCCGCGGUAAUUCCAGCUCCAAUAGCGUAUAUUAAAGUUGUUGCAGUUAAAAAGCUCGUAGUUGAAUUUCGGGAUCAAUAUGUUGGUCGUGCCUCGGUACGUACUAGCAUAUUGGUUUCUCCUUCUGAAGAACCAUGAUGUCAUUUAUUUGGUGUCGUGGGGAAUCAGGACUGUUACUUUGAAAAAUUAGAGUGUUUAAAGCAGGCUCACGCUUGAAUACAUUAGCAUGGAAUAAUGAAAUAGGACGUUCGAUUCUAUUUUGUUGGUUUCUAGGAUCGAUGUAAUGAUUAAUAGGGAUAGUUGGGGGCAUUAGUAUUCAAUUGUCAGAGGUGAAAUCCUUGGAUUUAUUGAAGACUAACUACUGCGAAAACAUUUGCCAAGGAUGUUCUCAUUAAUCAAGAACGAAAGUUAGGGGAUCGAAGACGAUCAGAUACCGUCGUAGUCUUAACCAUAAACUAUGCCGACUAGGGAUCGGAUGAUGUUAAUUUUUUAAUGACUCAUUCGGCGCCUUACGGG